rnacentral:rRNA from 1 species
GAGUUUGAUCCUGGCUCAGAUUGAACGCUGGCGGCAUGCCUUACACAUGCAAGUCGAACGGCAGCACGGGAGCUUGCUCCUGGUGGCGAGUGGCGGACGGGUGAGUAAUGCAUCGGAACGUAUCCUGGAGUGGGGGAUAACGUAGCGAAAGUUACGCUAAUACCGCAUAUUCUGUGAGCAGGAAAGCGGGGGACCUUCGGGCCUCGCGCUCUUGGAGCGGCCGAUGUCGGAUUAGCUAGUUGGUGAGGUAAAGGCUCACCAAGGCGACGAUCCGUAGCAGGUCUGAGAGGAUGAUCUGCCACACUGGAACUGAGACACGGUCCAGAC